UACGAAGGGGGGCUAGCGUUGUUCGGAAUCACUGGGCGUAAAGCGCACGUAGGCGGAUCUUUAAGUCAGGGGUGAAAUCCCGAGGCUCAACCUCGGAACUGCCUUUGAUACUGGGGAUCUCGAGUCCGGGAGAGGUGAGUGGAACUGCGAGUGUAGAGGUGAAAUUCGUAGAUAUUCGCAAGAACACCAGUGGCGAAGGCGGCUCACUGGCCCGGUACUCGGACGCUGAGGUGCGAAAGCGUGGGGAGCAACAGG
rnacentral:rRNA from 1 species